GACGAACGCUGGCGGCGUGCUUAACACAUGCAAGUCGAACGAUGAAGAAGAGAAACGCGAACUUCGGUUCAAAUUUCACUUCGGAUUAGUGGCAGACGGGUGAGUAACGCGUGAGCAACCUACCUCUUACAAGGGGAUAGCCCCGGGAAACCGUGAUUAAUACCAUAUGACACAUUCAUAAGGCAUCUUAAGAAUGUUAAAGCUACGGCGGUAAGAGAUGGGCUCGCGUCCCAUUAGCUAGUUGGUGAGGUAACGGCCCACCAAGGCGACGAUGGGUAACCGGCCUGAGAGGGUGAACGGUCACAUUGGAACUGAGACACGGUCCAAACUCCUACGGGAGGCAGCAGUGGGGAAUAUUGCACAAUGGAGGGAACUCUGAUGCAGCGACGCCGCGUGAGCGAUGAAGGAAUUCGUUUCGUAAAGCUCUGUUCUAUGGGAAGAAAAGGACUGUACCAUAGGAGAAAGCCCCGGCUAAAUACGUG
rnacentral:rRNA from 1 species